UGCGUAGGCGGGCUAAUAAGUCAGUGGAGAAAUCUCUCGGCUCAACCGGGAAACUGCCAUUGAUACUGUUAGUCUUGAGUUCGGUUGAGGUAGGCGGAAUGUGUAAUGUAGCGGUGAAAUGCUUAGAUAUUACACAGAACACCAAUUGCGUAGGCAGCUUACUAGACCGACACUGACGCUGAGGCACGAAAGCGUGGGGAGCGAACAGGAUUAGAUACCCUGGUAGUCC
rnacentral:rRNA from 1 species